ACGCUGGCGGCGUGCCUAAUACAUGCAAGUAGAACGCUGAAGGAGGAGCUUGCUUCUCUGGAUGAGUUGCGAACGGGUGAGUAACGCGUAGGUAACCUGCCUGGUAGCGGGGGAUAACUAUUGGAAACGAUAGCUAAUACCGCAUAAGAGUAGAUGUUGCAUGACAUUUGCUUAAAAGGUGCAAUUGCAUCACUACCAGAUGGACCUGCGUUGUAUUAGCUAGUUGGUGGGGUAACGGCUCACCAAGGCGACGAUACAUAGCCGACCUGAGAGGGUGAUCGGCCACACUGGGACUGAGACACGGCCCAGACUCCUACGGGAGGCAGCAGUAGGGAAUCUUCGGCAAUGGACGGAAGUCUGACCGAGCAACGCCGCGUGAGUGAAGAAGGUUUUCGGAUCGUAAAGCUCUGUUGUAAGAGAAGAACGAGUGUGAGAGUGGAAAGUUCACACUGUGACGGUAUCUUACCAGAAAGGGACGGCUAACUACGUGCCAGCAGCCGCGGUAAUACGUAGGUCCCGAGCGUUGUCCGGAUUUAUUGGGCGUAAAGCGAGCGCAGGCGGUUAGAUAAGUCUGAAGUUAAAGGCUGUGGCUUAACCAUAGUACGCUUUGGAAACUGUUUAACUUGAGUGCAAGAGGGGAGAGUGGGAUUCCAUGUGUAGCGGUGAAAUGCGUAGAUAUAUGGAGGAACACCGGUGGCGAAAGCGGCUCUCUGGCUUGUAACUGACGCUGAGGCUCGAAAGCGUGGGGAGCAAACAGGAUAGAUACCCUGGUAGUCCACGCCGUAAACGAUGAGUGCUAGGUGUUAGACCCUUC
rnacentral:rRNA from 1 species